UGGGGAAUAUUGCACAAUGGGCGCAAGUCUGAUGCAGCCAUGCCGCGUGUGUGAAGAAGGCCUUCGGGUUGUAAAGCACUUUCAGCGAGGAGGAAGGUGGUGAGCUUAAUACGCUCAUCAAUUGACGUUACUCGCAGAAGAAGCACCGGCUAACUCCGUGCCAGCAGCCGCGGUAAUACGGAGGGUGCAAGCGUUAAUCGGAAUUACUGGGCGUAAAGCGCACGCAGGCGGUUUGUUAAGUCAGAUGUGAAAUCCCCGGGCUCAACCUGGGAACUGCAUUUGAAACUGGCAAGCUAGAGUCUCGUAGAGGGGGGUAGAAUUCCAGGUGUAGCGGUGAAAUGCGUAGAGAUCUGGAGGAAUACCGGUGGCGAAGGCGGCCCCCUGGACGAAGACUGACGCUCAGGUGCGAAAGCGUGGGGAGCAAAACAGGAUUAGAUACCCUGGUAGUCCACGCUGUAAACGAUGUCGAUUUUGGAGGUUGUGCCCUUGAGGCGUGGCUUCCGGAGCUAACGCGUUAAAUCGACCGCCU
rnacentral:rRNA from 1 species